rnacentral:lncRNA from 1 species
AAGCAGCUUGAGCACGCAGAGCGCAACGGUGUAAAGCAAAAUCUGUUGCCUUUGAACGGUUUUAAACGAAGCCGUGAGAAAACAAACACAUUUCGUGGAUUUUUUCUUUUUCUUUUUUAAGUCUGAGGCAUCUGCAAUGUGGAAUUCUUUGCAGUAAUUAAGAUUUGUGGAUGGGUGAAUUUUAGAAAUAUGAGUCCUUCAAGAUGUUUUGUUGGAAAUGUGGGAAAGGGGUCAUUGCUGAUAAUUGUGUGAUGAAACAGAAUUAUGAGCUCCUCUGGGCCAGGCUGCUCUUCUCUGAAGCUUUCUAAUGCCGUUGUAAACCUCUGGGAAAGCUUUCUGGAUUAUUCUCUCACCACAAGCACCCACAAGACAAACCGGACAAGCUGUUAAGCACAGACGGAAGUUGCAGAAAAGUUUAACACUGCCAGGGAGUGUGUCUCCAGAUGCACCAAGCUUGAGUGUGGCUGGCCCCACCUGGCUCAUGUGCCCCUUGGCAGGCUGCUUCCCAUCACGUUGUCCACAACACAUGCACCUGGGUUUGAUGUUAGACUCAAGAAAAGAUCUAUUUUCUUGCUUCCAACACCUCCCCUUGGUGACUCCCUUGGGCCCUCAUCCUCCUCUCCAUUGUUACAUCUCAAUGAGCAGAACCAGGACAUGAAGAGUUGUUCUCCAGUUGGCCGCCUUUUCCCUCUUCCUUGGGCUCCAUCCCACCCGGUCGUGAAGGUACUGUGGAAUCACGACUGCUGACAGCCUCCCUCUGGCCACGCCACCCAUCUCCUCCAUACUUGGACACACUUGCUUCAUCAUCUCUCUGGAGCCCAGUGAGGCUUCACUCACCACCUGCUUUGCCUCCAUCAACUUGAAGCCCUCCUGCCUCCUCACCUUGGAACUGCUCCCCACGGGGAGCCCAUCCUCGGAGCCUUGCUUCCAUGGGAAGGUGACUGUCUCUCCAAACGUCAGCCCAUUUCAAGACUGGAGAUGAUGUUGCAGACACAGAGCUGGUCUUGGGAGCACCCGUAAGAGACAUAUGCGCAGAGCUUCCCGAGGCACACCCACUUGGCACACCAGUGGUUUGUGCCUAUGCAGGGUUUAAAGAAAUGGAGUUUGGAGAAUUGGGCCAAAACCACAAAUGGAAUCAGCCCUUUCUGAUGAAAUCAUCUGAUUUUCUCAGAAAGCUGCUGGAGGUGAUGGAAACUUGGAAAGAUGUCGGUGGCUUUUGAGACAUGGGAUUUGACAAGGGAACUGCAUCCAACAGUUUGUCAGAGGAGUUCCGAGGUGGCUCCUCUGAGAACACCUAUUUUGUUCUUUCCCUUCUCCAUGAUAUGAGUCAUGUGGAAUGGAAGAUGCUAUGGAAGCUGAUUGGAACUGUGAGGAACUGAAAUCAUCUCCACCUGGAGCAAUUAAACAUGGACCUUGGAAGCCUUGCCUUUGAGAGGCCCAGGGCAACCUGUCCUACCUACCAGCUGCCCCAUCAGGGGGUAAUCCACUGAUCACCUCCCUCUGUUGGCACAGCAAUCCUGACACCUACAUCUGUGGGGCAACCUUCCCUAUCACCUGCACCUUUUGGAAUUUUGACUCCACCGUGGAGCCUAAGUGAAGCAUGGAGUCUGGGAAAACAAAGCAGAAGCCACUUAUUUGAAGAAAGAGAAAAUCCCACCCAUCCUUUCACCGUGAACCUGGAGUCCCACGGCUAGCUGCUUAGCUGGCUGCACUGUCGCGUUAAAUAGUUUCCCUGGAAGAGAAAUUGUCCUCUUAGAUUUUCAUUCGUUUUGUUGUUUCCUGUGGAUUUUGGGGAGAGGAGGAGCAUCUCCCCUGCACAGCUGCAAACUCAGGUUAGCUGGGUUAUACUCCUGUGCCGGAGCUUGCAGCAGGUGAUCAGGCCUGUGUACAUGAGGCUGUGGAGAGGCAGGGUGGGUACUGGGGCCAGGGGACUUCCAGGAAAUAAAGCUCCUACCUGAAAUGAUAAACAGAGGAAUAUAGUUUAGCCAAUUAGAGAGAAAUUAUUUCUAAAAACUCAAUAAAAUGUAGUUUAACCUUUCUCUCAUUUUCUGGUUUAUUCAUUUGAAUUUUAACUCUU